GAUGAAGAACGCAGCGAAAUGCGAUACUUGGUGUGAAUUGCAGAAUCCCGUGAACCAUCGAGUCUUUGAACGCAAGUUGCGCCCGAAGCCAUUAGGCCGAGGGCACGCCUGCCUGGGUGUCACACACCGUUACCCUCGCGCCAACGUCCAUCGUUGGCCGCGGCGCGGGGCGUGCGCUGACCUCCCGCGAGCGGGGUCUCGUGGUUGGUUGAAAAUCGAGUUCGCGGUCGAGGGUGCCGUGAUGAAAUGGUGGAUGGGCGACGCCCGAGGCCAAUCACGCGCGACUCUGUCCGGCUCGAACUCCUGGACCCCUUCGGCGUCUCCGGACGCUCUUUGGCGAGACCUCAGGUCAGGCGGGGCUACCCGCUGAGUUUAAGCAUAUCAAUAAGCGGAGGA
rnacentral:misc_RNA from 1 species